rnacentral:rRNA from 1 species
UACGAAGGGGGCUAGCGUUGCUCGGAAUCACUGGGCGUAAAGGGUGCGUAGGCGGGUCUUUAAGUCAGAGGUGAAAUCCUGGAGCUCAACUCCAGAACUGCCUUUGAUACUGAGGAUCUUGAGUUCGGGAGAGGUGAGUGGAACUGCGAGUGUAGAGGUGAAAUUCGUAGAUAUUCGCAAGAACACCGGUGGCGAAGGCGGCAUCCUGGACCGGCAUUGACGCUGAGGCGCGAAAGCCAGGGGAGCAAACGGG